rnacentral:rRNA from 1 species
AUUGAACGCUGGCGGCAGGCCUAACACAUGCAAGUCGAACGAGAGGCGGAAGGGUGAGUAAUGUAUGGGAAACUGCCCGAUGGAUGGGGAUAACUACUGGAAACGUUCGAUACUACCGCAUACCCUCGGAUGUGCCCAGAUGGGAUUAGCUAGUAGGUGGGGUAAUGGCUCACCUAGGCGACGAUCCCUACGUGGUCUGAGAGGAUUACCAGCCUCCAUGGAAAUGAGCCACGGUCCAGACUCCUACGGGGGGCAGCAGUGGGGAAUAUUGCACAAUGGGCGCAAGCCUGAUGCAGCCAUGCCGCGUGUAUGAAGAAGGCCUUCGGGUUGUAAAGUACUUUCAGCGAGGAGGCGUUACUCACAGAAGAAGCACCGGCUAACUCCGUGCCAGCAGCCGCGGUAAUAC